GAGCCGUUAGCUCAACUGGCAGAGCACCUGACUCUUAAUCAGGGGGUUGCAGGUUCGACUCCUGCACGGCUCACCA
rnacentral:tRNA from 1 species